rnacentral:sRNA from 12 species
AGAGGGGCAAGUAAUACCUUUUAAACUCUUAUAAUGUUCCCUGAUGGAUAUUGGGCCAAGUUAUAAGGAGAUGUUUAAAAGGUUUUGCCUCUCU